AAAGCCUGAUCCAGCCAUGCCCGUGUGUGAAGAAGGUCUUCGGAUUGUAAAGCACUUUACCUUGGGAGUAAGGGCAGGAACCCAAUACCCUUGCUGUUUUGACGUUACCGAGGGAAUAAAAAA
rnacentral:rRNA from 1 species